rnacentral:lncRNA from 1 species
CCGGGGGUCGGCCGGAUAUGAGACAGGGUCGAAAUCCGACCUCUAGCCACUAAAAUGGCCGCCUAGGGCAAAAUACGGGGGGUUUUUUCAGAUCGGGUUUUUGGAUCGGAGAGCUAGCUUCAAGCUCUUUUCAAGGUCAUUAGUUUGGUUUCAUUAGGAUUUGUGAGGGGAGAGCAAUCACUGCUCAAAGUCAGUGUUUAUUUUGGUGUUUUGGAUUUUAUAUAAAA